rnacentral:rRNA from 1 species
CCAGACUCCUACUGGAGGCAGCAGUGAGGAAUAUUGGUCAAUGGACGCAAGUCUGAACCACCCAUGCCGCGUGCAGGAUGAAGGUGCUAUGCAUUGUAAACUGCUUUUGUACCAGGGUAAAUUCAGAUACGUGUAUCUGU